AUGAUACUUCCUUCAUCCCAAAAUUCAUGUCUUACAUUUAUCCAGAUAAGAAUGUAUCUAUUACUAAAAUAUGAUUUAAUACAUCCGUAUUUGGACAAAUAUAAGACAAGAGUUUUAGGACAGUGGGAGUGCUAU
rfam:Triticum aestivum genome assembly, contig: Triticum_aestivum_CS42_TGACv1_scaffold_392644_5AS